CUUGUACUCCCUCCGUCCUAAAAUUCUUGUCUUAAACUUGUCUAAAUACGGAUGUAUCAAGUCACGUUUUAGUAUUAGAUACAUCCGUAUCUAGACAAAUCUAAGACAGGAAUUUUGGGACGGAGGGAGUACUAU
rnacentral:pre_miRNA from 1 species